rnacentral:tRNA from 1 species
GUGGAUGUAGCUCAGCUGGUAGAGCGUCCGGUUGUGGUCCGGAAGGUCGCGGGUUCGAGCCCCGUCAUUCACCCGA